GUUAUUUUUCAGACAAGUCUGUGUGUGAAUAGUUGUUUUUCAGACAAGUCUGUGUGUGAAUAGUUGUUUUUCAGACAAGUCUGUGUGUGAAUAGUUGUUUUUCGGGGAGGUCUGUGUGAAUAGUUGUUUUUCAGGCAGGUCUGUGUGUGCACCUGUACAUCUGUUUAUAUGCUUUUGUGUGUGUGUAGGUCCCUGUGUGUCUGUAUGCAUAUGUCUGUCUCUCUUUGUGUGUGUCAUAUUAGGUGAGAAUUAGCACACAAGUAAGGACCACCCUCAUGAUCCCUCUCUCUCUCUCGAUCUCUCUCUCUCGAUCUCUCUCUCUCUCGAUCCCUCUCUCUCUCGAUCCCUCUCUCUCUCUCGAUCUCUCUUGAUCCCUCUCUCUCUCCCUCUCUCUCUCUCUCGAUCCCUCUCUCUCUCUCUCUCUCUCGAUCCCUCUCUCUCUCUCUCUCAAUAUCUCUCUCUCUCUCUCACACUCUGUGGCCUCUCUUUUCAUCCUCCUUUUUUUGGAGGGAAAACUCCUUCUCUUUGUGUCAUUGUGUUCCAUUUUCAGGAUGUCACAUUCCACCAAACCUGUGACCACCUCCGACUAACUAGCUCUCUUUCACUCCUCGGGAUCAUGUGUGUGUGUGGGGCCACGUGUGUGUGUUUGGGGCCACAUUUCAAUGUCUGUG
ensembl:lncRNA